rnacentral:rRNA from 1 species
UAUCUCUGUAGAGUCUGCAUAUCAAUAAGCGGAGGAAAAGAAACUAACAAGGAUUCCCCUAGUAACGGCGAGUGAAGCGGGAAGAGCUCAAAUUUGAAAUCUUAAAGGGUUUCCCUUUACUAAUUGUAGUUUAAAGAAGUGUUUUCUGUUGGAGUUUCGGUAAAAGUUCUUUGGAAUAGGACAUCAUAGAGGGUGAGAAUCCCGUAUUUGACCGUUACUUUCCAGCUGUGUGAUACACUUUCAAAGGGUCGGAUUGUUUGGGAAUGCAGUCCAAAAUGGGUGGUAAAUUUCAUCUAAAGCUAAAUAUUGGCGAGAGACCGAUAGCGAACAAGUACCGUGAGGGAAAGAUGAAAAGAACUUUGAAAAGAGAGUUAAACAGUACGUGAAAUUGUCAAAAGGGAAGCGUUUGACACCAGUGUUGUUUAGUUGAAAAUCAAUUAAAUAGUUUUCGAUUUUAAGUAGUAUUGACCUUAUCAGCUUGCUGCUUUCUUCUCGGAAAUUAUUUAAUGCACUUUUCAGUUAACAAGUCAACAUCAAUUUCUUUUGUUGUAAAAAGGUAAGAGGAAGGUGGCUUGCGCUUCGGCUCAAGUGUUUAUAGCCUUUUACUUCUGCAAUCGGAGAGAUUGAGGUCUGCAGCGUAGAUCCUUCGGGGUUAGAUACAUUUGUGCUAAGCUAUAGCCUUGUAUAGACAACUUGUUGACUAUGCUCAGUCAUGUAGCUUACUCGCUUAUGCUAUUUUACCUACGCUUAGGAUGUUGAACGCGCACAGAGUCUC